GUCUACGACCAUGCUACCCUGAGCAAGGCUGAUCCCGUCUGAUCUCAGAAGCUAAACAGGGUCGGGCCUGGUUAGUACUUGAAUGGUAAACCACCUAGGAAGACCGGGUGCUGUAGGUG
rnacentral:rRNA from 1 species